rnacentral:rRNA from 1 species
UACGGAGGGUGCAAGCGUUAAUCGGAAUUACUGGGCGUAAAGGGCGCGUAGGCGGCCUGUUAAGUCGGACGUGAAAUCCCUCGGCUCAACCGGGGAACUGCGUCCGAUACUGGCGGGCUUGAAUUCGGGAGAGGGAUGUGGAAUUCCAGGUGUAGCGGUGAAAUGCGUAGAUAUCUGGAGGAACACCGGUGGCGAAGGCGGCAUCCUGGACCGACAUUGACGCUGAGGCGCGAAAGCCAGGGGAGCAAACGGG